GGGGUAUAUGUCUUCGGAUAUAGAGACCGGCGCACGGGUGCGUAACGCGUAUGCAAUCUACCUUUCACAGAGGGAUAGCCCAGAGAAAUUUGGAUUAAUACCUCAUAGUAUUACGACUCGGCAUCGAGAUGUAAUUAAAGUCACAACGGUGAAAGAUGAGCAUGCGUCCCAUUAGCUAGUUGGUAAGGUAACGGCUUACCAAGGCAACGAUGGGUAGGGGUCCUGAGAGGGAGAUCCCCCACACUGGUACUGAGACACGGACCAGACUCCUACGGGAGGCAGCAGUGAGGAAUAUUGGUCAAUGGACGCAAGUCUGAACCAGCCAUGCCGCGUGCAGGAUGACGGUCCUAUGGAUUGUAAACUGCUUUUGUACGAGAAGAAACAACAUUACGUGUAAUGUCUUGACGGUAUCGUAAGAAUAAGGAUCGGCUAACUCCGUGCCAGCAGCCGCGGU
rnacentral:rRNA from 1 species